rnacentral:rRNA from 1 species
UGGGGAAUAUUGGACAAUGGGGGCAACCCUGAUCCAGCAAUACCGCGUGUGUGAAGAAGGCCUGCGGGUUGUAAAGCACUUUCAGUGGGGAAGAAAAGCGGGUGGUUAACAGCUGCCUGGAUUGACGUUACCCACAGAAGAAGCACCGGCUAACUCCGUGCCAGCAGCCGCGGUAAUACGGAGGGUGCAAGCGUUAAUCGGAAUUACUGGGCGUAAAGCGCGCGUAGGCGGCUUGGUCAGUCAGAUGUGAAAUCCCAGGGCUCAACCUUGGAACUGCAUUUGAUACUGCCAGGCUAGAGUAUGUUAGAGGAAAGCGGAAUUCCGGGUGUAGCGGUGAAAUGCGUAGAUAUCCGGAGGAACAUCAGUGGCGAAGGCGGCUUUCUGGAACAAUACUGACGCUGAGGUGCGAAAGCGUGGGGAGCAAACA